GAUCUGGCUCAGGAUGAACGCUAGCGACAGGCCUAACACAUGCAAGUCGAGGGGCAGCGGGGAGGUAGCAAUACCUUUGCCGGCGACCGGCGCACGGGUGAGUAACACGUAUGCAAUCCACCUGUAACAGGGGGAUAACCCGGAGAAAUCCGGACUAAUACCCCAUAAUAUGGGCUCUCCGCAUGGAGGGUUCAUUAAAGAGAGCAAUUUUGGUUACAGACGAGCAUGCGCUCCAUUAG
rnacentral:rRNA from 1 species